UACGGGGGGGGCAAGCGUUGUUCGGAAUUACUGGGCGUAAAGGGCGCGUAGGCGGUUCGCUAAGUUGGAUGUGAAAACUCUGGGCUUAACCCAGAGCCUGCAUCCAAAACUGGCAAACUUGAGUACUGGAGGGGAAAGCGGAAUUCCUGGUGUAGCGGUGAAAUGCGUAGAUAUCAGGAGGAACACCGGUGGCGAAGGCGGGUCUCUGGGCAGUAACUGACGCUGAGGAGCGAAAGCGUGGGGAGCGAACAGG
rnacentral:rRNA from 1 species